GAUGAACGCUGGCGGCGUGCUUAACACAUGCAAGUCGAACGGAAAGGCUCCUGCUUGCAGGGGUACUCGAGUGGCGAACGGGUGAGUAACACGUGGGUGAUCUGCCCUGCACUUCGGGAUAAGCCUGGGAAACUGGGUCUAAUACCGGAUAGGACGAUGGUUUGGAUGCCAUUGUGGAAAGUUUUUCGGUGUGGGAUGAGCUCGCGGCCUAUCAGCUUGUUGGUGGGGUAAUGGCCUACCAAGGCGUCGACGGGUAGCCGGCCUGGGAGGGUGUACGGCCACAUUGGGACUGGGAUACGGCCCAGACUCCUACGGGAGGCAGCAGUGGGGAAUAUUGCACAAUGGGCGCAAGCCUGAUGCAGCGACGCCGCGUGGGGGAUGACGGCCUUCGGGUUGUAAACUCCUUUCGCUAGGGACGAAGCGUUUUGUGACGGUACCUGGAGAAGAGGCACCGGCUAACUACGUG
rnacentral:rRNA from 1 species